UACGAAGGGGGCUAGCGUUGCUCGGAAUCACUGGGCGUAAAGCGCACGUAGGCGGAUUGUUAAGUCGGGGGUGAAAUCCUGGAGCUCAACUCCAGAACUGCCUUCGAUACUGGCGAUCUUGAGUCCGGGAGAGGUGAGUGGAACUCCGAGUGUAGAGGUGAAAUUCGUAGAUAUUCGGAAGAACACCAGUGGCGAAGGCGACUACCUGGCCUGUUCUUGACGCUGAGGCGCGAAAGCUAGGGGAGCAAACGGGG
rnacentral:rRNA from 1 species